rnacentral:rRNA from 1 species
UGGAAGUAAAAGUCGUAACAAGGUUUCCGUAGGUGAACCUGCGGAAGGAUCAUUAAAGAGUAAGGGUGCUCAGCGCCCGACCUCCAACCCUUUGUUGUUAAAACUACCUUGUUGCCUUGGCGGGACCGCUCGGUCUCGAGCCGCUGGGGAUUCGUCCCAGGCGAGCGCCCGCCAGAGUUAAACCAAACUCUUGUUAUUAAACCGGUCGUCUGAGUUAAAAUUUUGAAUAAAUCAAAACUUCCAACAACGGAUCUCUUGGUUCUCGCAUCGAUGAAGAACGCAGCGAAAUGCGAUAAGUAAUGUGAAUUGCAGAAUUCAGUGAAUCAUCGAAUCUUUGAACGCACAUUGCGCCCCUUGGUAUUCCGAGGGGCAUGCCUGUUCGAGCGUCAUUACACCACUCAAGCUAUGCUUGGUAUUGGGUGCCGUCCUUAGUUGGGCGCGCCUUAAAGACCUCGGCGAGGCCUCACCGGCUUUAGGCGUAGCAGAAUUUAUUCGAACGUCUGUCAAAGGAGAGGACUUCUGCCGACUGAAACCUUUUAUUUUUCUAGGUUGACCUCGGAUCAGGUAGGGAUACCCGCUGAACUUAAGCAUAUCAAUAAGCGGAGGA